UCACUUACCUGGACGGGGUCGACUCUUGAUCAAGAAGAAGAGUGGCCUAGGCUAGUGAUCUCCAUUGCACUAAGGAGAGGCGCUUAGCCUAAGGUCUCCCCAAGUGGGAGAGCCUGCGUCAUUAUUUGUGGCAGAGGGAGCCUGCGUCCGCGCGGCUCCUAC
rfam:Brassica rapa chromosome A9, whole genome shotgun sequence.